AUGUGGAAGUUACAACAGAUUCCAGUGGGACCCGCGGCACGCGCAACAAUGUUGGUCUGGGACACAUCGUCGCCCUGUAAUAUGGUCCUACUCGCACGCGCAACGGCGUUCGUCGGGGACACAUCGUCACUCUGUAAUAUUACAGGGGUGACUCGGCGCGAACAUCUCCGGUGGGGUAGUUAAUAGUAUCAGCGAUCGCCUAAGGGGUUUGAGAAGAAGAAGGACGCGGGAUCCUUUGCGAAGGUGGGGAUUUGGAUGGGAGCUUCUUGUCGAGGAAGGUGACCUUUCUUCGCCUUCUUUCUUGCUUUCGUUCUUAUCCAUUCUGUUCCGGCGAUUGCUCGUUUCUUUCUUUGCUACCUACCGAGAGGAAGGGCGGUCGAUUCAGGCCAGAAAGAAGGAAUCCUUUGUUCCGCAUCUCGUUUUCAGUUGCUCGUGUGGGUAAUUGCUCGUUUCUGUGUUUGUUCAUUCUUGGUUCUUGUUUGAAAUUUAGAGGGAAGUAUGGUUGAUUUGGACCCCAAAAAAGGGACCCUACGUUCCGCAGCUCCUUUUCAGUUGCUCGUGUGGGCAAUCGCUCGUUUCUGUGUUUGUUCUUUCUUGGUUCUUGUUUGAGAUCGAGAGGGAAGGGCGGUCGAUUCGGGCCAGAAAGAAGGAACCCUACGUUCCGCAUCUCAGUUGAUCAUGUGGGUAAUCGCUCGUUUCUGUGUUUGUUCUUUCUUGAUUCUUGUUUGAGAUUGAGAGGAAGGGCGGCCGAUCUGGACAGAAAGAAGGAACCCUAAGUUCCGCAUCUUGUUUUCAGUUGCUUACCUAGGUAUUUGCUCGUUCUUUGUUUAUUCUUUCUUGAUUCUGGUUUUCCGCAGCUCCGUUUCAGGUGCUCGUCUAGGUAUACUCUUCUUGGUUUGUGUUUUCUUUUAGUUUGUUCUUAAAGAUGUUGCUUGAUUCAUUUUCUUGGACUGAUCGUGGAGUUUUGGUGUAAACUUUAUGAUCGGGGAGUGAAAUCUUGAUGAGUAAAGAGACUCUUGUAUAAUUUGGAGUAUCUGAAAUCAAAGGCCAUUUUAACUUGCUUUUUGUUGGUUGAUGAUCAUCGAACAAAGAUGCAUCAGUUUUUCACAUUCGUAGUCUGGCAGAAGAUAAGAUACUUUAUGGGAUCGAUGAAACAAAAUACUGUCGGUUUGCCAUCUGACUAGAGGAAUUGGUUUUAGUGAUUGGAGUUGGAGGAAACGUGGAUUCAGGCUGUUACUAACCAAACAUGCUGUUAUUUUUUGUAUUGUCAACUAAUGAAGUUUCUUAUCUUUUGCCAGACUAAAGACAAAAUUAUAGUCUUUUUGCAUAUUAAGGUUCAAUAUUUACUAAACCUUUUAUGACUGUGGAUUGUAACUGUAUCAUUGUGCUCCAUGUUUGGUUGUCGUACGGUCAAAACCCCACAGUUCAACUUGUGCACCGUCAUGGAGAGUUGUGAAUAACAACUUUUGCUGCUAUCUGCUUUAGAUAUUCUCGUUGCAGUAUUGACUGCCACCUUCUUCUCCAUACUAACACAUAUGUAAACAAAAAGAUUCAGAACCGAAUUCCUUUUGUCCAUAAUUUUCUUACUGUGAUGUUCUUGUUUCUGAUUUGUUUUCUAACCAAAGAAGAACCUUAACUCCACUUAUCGAAUUAGCUUUAACCAAGAUCUUCUGUUUUGCUUUCAACAGUGUCUUUUCUCUAUGAUAUAUUUGCUUCAGUGAUUAUUACUUGUUGGAUCACUGAAAAGUCAGCAAUGAAGUUGGUAAAAAUUGUUCUAAGUAUAAUGUAAUUAAGUUUUUAUGAUCGAAUAGCAUUUUUGCAUGUUAUCACUUUAAUUGUACCAAAGCAAAAAAUAUGUGCUGCGAUGCCUCAUUGAGUAUCUUAGCUUUAAUUUUGAGUUUCUAUGUACCGUAGGAUGGCUUGUGCUUGUUCAUCCGGGAUGCUUUAAUUCUGCUGAUUACUUUUUGUUGGCUUUUUUUAUCUUUUGAGAUAUGUGUUCUGAGCAUUUACGAUUUGAAUGAAAGAAUGACAGAUUUUCUUGUUUGUGAUGGCCCAUUAUAAUCCAAUGCUGUCUCAGUGCAGGAUGACUCUGCUUUUUUUUUUUUUUUUUUGAGAUAUACUGAUUUAUUUCGUCGGUUACUUGCAUGAGCUUUUUUGACAAGGAGAUGUCCAUACUUUCAACUAUUAAUGGUAGCAACUUUGAACACAUGAAAAAUAUAUUGCCUUCAGCGCUGGUAUAUGAAACAAGUCCUGACAACGUUGGCAUUUGAUGCCACUUGAUGGUAUUGCGAAAUUUAUAGUGGUAACUAAGAAAAAAGGGGUUGUUUUACUUUUACUAUAUCAAGUGAUUAUUUUUUAUACGAGUAUAACUUACUUCAAUGACUAUUCAACAUUUUCUGCAUUAUGGAAAUUUAUGAGCCUUAAGGUUGUUAGUGAUGUUGUAUGAAUAUUCGUGUGUUAUAUACUCUUGGAAAUGAUAUGUAUUGCACAGAUGUUGCUUAUGACCUGACAAAAUGCACCACUAGGUCUAGACUAUGAAAGAGGGAAGUUGUUUGUUGUAUUAAAGUGUGUGUGUGUGUAUUUUUUUUUUUUUUUUUUUGGUGGGGUAGUCUUUCAUGGUGAUGGUAGCGGUAAAGGAUCCAAAGAAACUCUUUGUGUUGUGAAAUUAUGUAUUUCCUUAAGGGAAAUGAGGCAGAGAACAUUGCUGACUUAAAUAAAUGCUUUUGCAUUGAUUUCAUUGGAACAUAUUAAUUAAUGGUUAUAUUCUCAUUUUUAGUACAGGAAAAUUAAUUAAUGGUUAUAUUCUCAUUUAUUCUUCCAUAAAAUAUAGGCCGCACAAAUGGCAACAAACUUUCUUCUGGCAACAAAUAUUACAUUUAAUUCUGGCUUUGUUUUUGGUUUGGAAUCACGAAGAAGUUUCUAUAAAAUGAAAAUUACAUUGUUAGUUUUAAAGUUGCAGAUCAUAUUUGAUUGGACUACAAUUAUCAAAGAAAAAGUUUCUUCGAUUGGAGUGCUGGAAACUUUCUGUCUUGGUGCUGAUUAACACUGAUGACUCAUUGAACUGUCUUCUAAAUUUGACUAAUAUGGAAAUACUUAGAACAUGAAUAACUUCCUCCGACAGAAGCAAGUGGACCAUCCAAAUCUCUAAGUAUUUCCUUUUAUUUCGGCUUCAAGCUCAAGUUGUACUAACCAUAUCUGUACUCCCUUAGGGUGGCAUGCGAUCUUCAGGCACUCGAGAUUUGGACUGCCUACAAAGAACAAAACAAGCCAGAAAAAAAAUAAGUUAGACGCUUGUGGAAACUGAAAAUUCAAAAAAGAAAAUGGGUUGAAAGGACCUCAAAUUUGAAACGUCUGGUGAAGCCGGUGCAGAUGCAGAGAGGUUAUUAUUACCACAAUUUUGAAGCCCACAGCGCUCUGAUAUUGUAAAUAUAGUAGUUGCUUAGUGAUUUGUAUAUAUAUAUAUAUAUAUAUACACACACACACACACACACACAAAUACAUAUAUAUAUUAUACACACACAUUUGCAGUUUUAUGUAUUAGAAGAACAAAUUGAUGAAUGGAUCGCCCAGAAGUGAGUACUGCUUAAUUUAUUC